rnacentral:lncRNA from 1 species
CACUUGGGCUUUUGGAGCAUUGAGAGGGGCGUAGCUGUGGAAUCUUUCUGGAAGAGAGCUUCGUCGAACUCUGCGGUCCGGACUCCUCUGCUUAUGAGCUCGGGGAGGAGUCCGGACAUGCCUGUAUCCAGGAGGAGUUCGAGAAUGUGGCCGAGCUUCAAUUGGCCCUUUUUUAGCUGCGAGCUUGCUGGAGCCACCCGCC